CGAUCUUGAGCAGGUCGCGGACGAUCGCAUCGCUUUCCUUGCGGUCGUCGCUCAGAAGCACUGCGUUGGCGCGCGCGUGCAGCUUCUCGAUGGUUUCCAGCCGCGCCAGACUAAAAGCCUCNAUGAUGACCACUAGCGCCACGACGGCGAGGAUCGCGAACACAAGUCCGAUGUAGCCAAGGCUGGUGCUGCGGUUGAACAGGUCCUCGACGAGAUUGGAGAUGCCAAGCCCGAGCCCGAGCACGACCAGACCGGCGAGCGCGGUCCAGAACACGCCUGCCCAGCCGAAGCCCUUGCGGGC
rnacentral:misc_RNA from 1 species